UCCGUAGGUGAACCUGCGGAGGGAUCAUUACCGAGUUUACAACUCCCAAACCCCUGUGAACAUACCACUUGUUGCCUCGGCGGAUCAGCCCGCUCCCGGUAAAACGGGACGGCCCGCCAGAGGACCCCUAAACUCUGUUUCUAUAUGUAACUUCUGAGUAAAACCAUAAAUAAAUCAAAACUUUCAACAACGGAUCUCUUGGUUCUGGCAUCGAUGAAGAACGCAGCAAAAUGCGAUAAGUAAUGUGAAUUGCAGAAUUCAGUGAAUCAUCGAAUCUUUGAACGCACAUUGCGCCCGCCAGUAUUCUGGCGGGCAUGCCUGUUCGAGCGUCAUUUCAACCCUCAAGCACAGCUUGGUGUUGGGACUCGCGUUAAUUCGCGUUCCUCAAAUUGAUUGGCGGUCACGUCGAGCUUCCAUAGCGUAGUAGUAAAACCCUCGUUACUGGUAAUCGUCGCGGCCACGCCGUUAAACCCCAACUUCUGAAUGUUGACCUCGGAUCAGGUAGGAAUACCCGCUGAACUUAAGCAUAUCAAUAAGCGGAGGA
rnacentral:rRNA from 6 species